rnacentral:tRNA from 1 species
GCCAGCUUAGCUCACUUGGUAGAGCAGCUGAUUCGUAAUCAGCAGGUAGCGAGUUCAAUUCUCGCAGCUGGCU